AUUCCACUCAGUGCCUAAUGUAAGCCGGUCGGGGCACCACCCAAGCCCUGGGUCAGGACUGUUUUCCCAUUUCGAAAAGACUCCACCACACUCUACACGGCUCCAAUCAAGAGCCGUUCCAAACAUGGCGCAGGCAGGGGUGGAAAGCAGCCUCAUUCCCGGGGCGCAAAGGGGAGACUAAUCUCCAGGAAACUCGGAGUACAGAAUCGAUAACCCCACAAGAAGCUAGUUUCCGCGAAUAGGCCUUGAGGAAAAAGUGGGUCGGGCACAAGCGAGCUGUUCAGACGCACUUCACAUCAAAGACUGUGACAACACAGCGAGAUGAAAACGACCCCGGGCGCAGGCGCGCGGAACCACGACUAGCGCGCUUUGGGACGACCCCUCCCGCUUCCCUCAAAGGCCAAGGAAGUGGCUCCGACGCGCUUGCGCGGGGACGGAAUGUUGGGGGGAGGGGAAACCCUUUCCCUUCUUUGUGAGAGAGAACCGCCCCCGCACGACGAGCGCGCGCGCGCUCACGCACCACUCUCACACUCCGGCGCGCCCCGGGCUUUCCGCCCGAGGUCUCGCGCAUGCGCGGAGAGGAAAGCGGUAGAGAACUCGGAGGCUUUUUGCCGAGUUUCUCUGAGAAGUUUCUGGAAAGACGGAGCCAAAGGGACGCUGGGGGGUGAGGAACGCAAGGAAGCAAGCGUUUGAAAGAAAGCGAAAAACCCCAAGCACACCGCCACACCUCCAACCUUCGAGCCACGGCCCAAACAGAGCCCAAGUCCACUGAGACCCUCACGCCAGGGAAAAAGCAUAGGGACCGCGGCAGCCGCUCCUCCCUCUGCCACUGCUUAGUCCCCGAGAUUCCUCAGCAUGGGGAGAGGGCAGGGGGUAGCCAUGAGAAGCGUAGGGCGCCCACUGGACGUUUGCAAGGUGGAAGGAAAGCCGAAACCCACCCUUUGGAGCCGCCUCCUCGCACGGGCCCCCUCGAGUGGGCUCAGUACGUUAGGAUUCAGCGUGGCCGCGGAAGCACUGGGUUGGGGGCGUCUUUCACUAGUUUUUUCUAGGUUUGCCCUCCUCUCGGGCUCUGUGGUCCCUUCCCCGCCCGUCUUCACUCUGGUGGCCUGACGCUAACGCUGCGAGUGUGGGGAAACCGUAGUAACCUCGAGUCUGAGGGGCGCCCUGGGCGGCGGUGUUCCGUCGCUUCCAGCCGUUUCCCCUUUAAGGAAAGCCCCCGAGAAGGGCCCGUGUGGCCGAGUAAAGGUAGGGUGCGCCCGCACAAAGGCGCCGCGUUGUUGGCGGCCCCGGACGCGGUCGCAGGUGACGCCAGGCGCCCUGGGCGGGGCGGCGUGGGAAGACCGGGGCGCCUGGGCGGGUAGAACGACGUUGGCGCUCGCGGGGCCGGGCCGGGGGAGGAAGCCACGGCAUCUAGCAGGUGCCUCUCCGCGGCCGAGCGACUGCCAUUUUGUGGUGCAGUCGCCGCCAUUUCGCGCGGCCGAGGGGCGGGGUAUGGGCGGAACGGCGGGCGCGCCCGGGCUGUCCCCCGGGGCGGCGGGCGAACGCGGCCCCUUUGUGCUUUCCUUCUCGGCUCGAGGCCCCAGUCUCGACCGCUGACUGCCUCGGAACUGGGCUGCGUUCGAGUGGCCAUGCGGCGUGUGAACCUUGAAGCGCGGCCCGGGCCUCCGCAAGGCGGACUCUUCCGCCCUGCAAGCCUUUCGAAAGUGAGAUUUCUCACCCCACCCUUGCAGGGUAGAGGGAACACGUUUUAAAGAGGAGAUGCCUAGAACCCAGCCGUGGGAAGUGGCUGUCUAAAGCUUUGUGCUGGUGCCAGUAGCAGACCCGUGCGCGUGCUGGGCUUUGAGCGAUCAUGGCGUUCUGCAAAUAGCUCAACUGCAGAGCGUGCUCCUUAGAGCUUCCUGUGCUGCCGGGGCCUCACAAAGGUGCUAAAACCCGGUGUCCCCAGAGAUUGGCUUCUUUGGAAAAAAGAAAAAAAAAGGGUAGGAUGUCUUUGACGUGCUGGAAGAUGGAGCAGAAUGAGACGUUGCUUUUCAUUGGCUGGCCGUGAAGCACGCACUGCGCAACUGUUUUCCAGAUACGGGUUUAUAGCCCAUUAUUUAUAUCUGAGCCAUAAACUUGAACAAUAGAUUGGAAUAUCUUAUUUCUGCCUGUUGAGAACAUCUUCCAUUUAACUUCUUUUUGAAGUCUCAGAUGAAUAUGUAAAUAAUACAUUGACCCA